AGCUCAAAUUUGCAAAUCUAGUACCUUUGGUGCUCGAGUUGUAAUUUGAAGAUAGUUUUCUGGCAUUGGCCCUUGUCUAUGUUCCUUGGAACAGGACGUCAUAGAGGGUGAGAAUCCCGUCUGAUGGGGUGUCCAAUGCUUUGUAGAUUUCUAUCGAAGAGUCGAGUGGUUUGGGAAUGCAGCUCUAAGUGGGUGGUUAAAUUCCAUCUAAAGCUAAAUACUGGCGAGAGACCGAUAGCGAACAAGUACAGUGAUGGAAAGAUGAAAAGAACUUUGAAAAGAGAGUGAAAAAGUACGUGAAAUUGUUGAAAGGGAAGGAUAUUGGAUCAGACUUGGUGUUUUGUGAUUAUCUUCCCUUCUUGGGUUGUGCACUCGCAUUUCACUGGGCCAGCAUCGGUUCGGAUGGCAAGAUAAUGGCUUGGGAACGUGGCACCUUUCGGGGUGUGUUAUAUCCCUUGUUGAUGUUGCCUAUCUGGACCGAGGACUGCGGCUUCUGCCUAGGAUGCUGGCGUAAUGAUUCAAUAUCGC
rnacentral:rRNA from 2 species